rnacentral:rRNA from 1 species
AGUGAACGCUGGCGGUAGGCCUAACACAUGCAAGUCGAACGGCAGCACAGUAAGAGCUUGCUCUUACGGGUGGCGAGUGGCGGACGGGUGAGGAAUACAUCGGAAUCUACUUUUUCGUGGGGGAUAACGUAGGGAAACUUACGCUAAUACCGCAUACGACCUACGGGUGAAAGCAGGGGAUCUUCGGACCUUGCGCGAUUGAAUGAGCCGAUGUCGGAUUAGCUAGUUGGCGGGGUAAAGGCCCACCAAGGCGACGAUCCGUAGCUGGUCUGAGAGGAUGAUCAGCCACACUGGAACUGAGACACGGUCCAGACUCCUACGGGAGGCAGCAGUGGGGAAUAUUGGACAAUGGGCGCAAGCCUGAUCCAGCCAUACCGCGUGGGUGAAGAAGGCCUUCGGGUUGUAAAGCCCUUUUGUUGGGAAAGAAAAGCAGCAGGUUAAUACCCCGCUGUUCUGACGGUACCCAAAGAAGAAGCACAGGCUAACUGCGU